GAUCCUAUAGCUCAAUUGGAUAGAGCAACUGCCUUCUAAGCAGUAGGUUACAAGUUCGAGUCUUGUUAGGAUCGCAA
rnacentral:tRNA from 1 species